GGGGCCGUAGUAUAGUGGUAUUACGCAUGUUUCGCAUACAUGCAACCGGGGUUCGAUUCCCCGCGACUCCA